GGUCAAGCGAAUAAGCGCACACGGUGGAUGCCUUGGCGGUCAGAGGCGAUGAAGGACGUGGCAGCCUGCGAAAAGUAUCGGGGAGCUGGCAACAAGCUUUGAUCCGGUAAUGUCCGAAUGGGGAAACCCACCCGCUUGCGGGUAUCCUGCAGUGAAUACAUAGCUGCUGGAAGCGAACCUGGUGAACUGAAAUAUCUAAGUAACCAGAGGAAAAGAAAUCAACCGAGAUUCCGUAAGUAGCGACGAGCGAACGCGGACUAGCCCUUAAGCUGAUUUGGUUCUAGGAAAACGCUCUGGAAAGAGCGGCCAUAGAAGGUGAUAGCCCUGUAUCUGAAAGGGCCAUUUCAGUGAAGACGAGUAGGGCGGGGCACGUGAAACCCUGUCUGAACAUGGGGGGACCAUCCUCCAAGGCUAAAUACUACUGACCGACCGAUAGUGAACCAGUACCGUGAGGGAAAGGCGAAAAGAACCCCGGAGAGGGGAGUGAAAUAGAACCUGAAACCGUGUGCGUACAAGCAGUAGGAGCUCCGCAAGGAGUGACUGCGUACCUUUUGUAUAAUGGGUCAGCGACUUACUGUUCGUGGCAAGCUUAACCGUAUAGGGGAGGCGAAGGGAAACCGAGUCUGAUAAGGGCGCAUAGUCGCGGGCAGUAGACCCGAAACCGGGUGAUCUAGUCAUGCCCAGGGUGAAGGUGCGGUAACACGCACUGGAGGCCCGAACCCACUCCCGUUGCAAAGGUAGGGGAUGAGGUGUGAUUAGGAGUGAAAAGCUAAUCGAACCCGGAGAUAGCUGGUUCUCCUCGAAAGCUAUUUAGGUAGCGCCUCAUAUGUAUCCUCUCGGGGGUAGAGCACUGUUAUGGCUAGGGGGUCAUCGCGACUUACCAAACCAUUGCAAACUCCGAAUACCGAGACGGACUGUAUGGGAGACACACGGCGGGUGCUAACGUCCGUCGUGAAAAGGGAAACAACCCAGACCCACAGCUAAGGUCCCAAAUUUUGUGCUAAGUGGAAAACCAUGUGGAAAGGCACAGACAGCCAGGAGGUUGGCUUAGAAGCAGCCACCCUUUAAAGAAAGCGUAAUAGCUCACUGGUCGAGUCGGUCUGCGGGGAAGAUUUAACGGGGCUAAGCACAGAACCGAAGCUUGGGGUGCAUACUUUGUAUGCGCGGUAGAGGAGCGUUCCGUAAGCCGUUGAAGGUGGAUUGAGAAGUCUGCUGGAGGUAUCGGAAGUGCGAAUGCUGACAUGAGUAACGAUAAUGCGGGUGAAAAACCCGCACGCCGAAAGCCCAAGGUUUCCUUGCGCAACGUUAAUCGGCGCAGGGUGAGUCGGCCCCUAAGGCGAGGACGAAAGUCGUAGUCGAUGGGAAGCAGGUUAAUAUUCCUGCACCUCGCGUAAGUGCGAUGGAGGGACGGAGAAGGUUAGGUGUACCAGGCGUUGGUUGUCCUGGGGAAAGGCGGUAGGUUUGGAUCUUUGGCAAAUCCGGGAUCCUCUAAGACCGAGCACCGAGACGAGCCUUUAAGGCGAAGUCACUGAUACCACGCUUCCAGGAAAAGCUCCUAAGCUUCAGCUUACGCAGACCGUACCGUAAACCGACACAGGUGGGUAGGAUGAGAAUUCUCAGGCGCUUGAGAGAACUCGGGUGAAGGAACUAGGCAACAUGGCACCGUAACUUCGGGAGAAGGUGCACCCUUUUUGGUGGCUCGUGCGAGCUAUAGCUGAAGAGGGUCGCAGUAACCAGGCCGCUGCGACUGUUUAUCAAAAACACAGCACUCUGCAAACACGAAAGUGGACGUAUAGGGUGUGACGCCUGCCCGGUGCUGGAAGGUUAAUUGAUGGGGUCAGCCGCAAGGCGAAGCUCUUGAUCGAAGCCCCAGUAAACGGCGGCCGUAACUAUAACGGUCCUAAGGUAGCGAAAUUCCUUGUCGGGUAAGUUCCGACCUGCACGAAUGGCGUAACGACAGCGGCGCUGUCUCCACCCGAGACUCAGUGAAAUUGAAAUCGCUGUGAAGAUGCAGCGUUCCCGUGGCAAGACGGAAAGACCCCGUGAACCUUUACUAUAGCUUUACACUGAACGUUGAGUUCGUCUGUGUAGGAUAGGUGGGAGGCUAUGAAACCAUGGCGCUAGCUGUGGCGGAGCCAUCCUUGAAAUACCACCCUGUCGUGCUUGACGUUCUAACCUGGGCCCAUUAUCUGGGUCGGGGACCGUGUAUGGUGGGUAGUUUGACUGGGGCGGUCUCCUCCUAAAGAGUAACGGAGGAGCUCGAAGGUACGCUCAGCGCGGUCGGACAUCGCGCACUGUGUGCAAAGGCAUAAGCGUGCUUGACUGCAAGAUCGACGGAUCAAGCAGGUAGGAAACUAGGACUUAGUGAUCCGGUGGUUCUGUAUGGAAGGGCCAUCGCUCAACGGAUAAAAGGUACUCCGGGGAUAACAGGCUGAUACCGCCCAAGAGUUCAUAUCGACGGCGGUGUUUGGCACCUCGAUGUCGGCUCAUCACAUCCUGGGGCUGUAGUCGGUCCCAAGGGUAUGGCUGUUCGCCAUUUAAAGUGGUACGCGAGCUGGGUUCAGAACGUCGUGAGACAGUUCGGUCCCUAUCUGCCAUGGGCGUUGGAGAUUUGAGAGGGGCUGCUCCUAGUACGAGAGGACCGGAGUGGACGAACCUCUGGUGUUCCGGUUGUCACGCCAGUGGCAUUGCCGGGUAGCUAUGUUCGGAAGCGAUAACCGCUGAAAGCAUCUAAGCGGGAAGCGCGCCUCAAGAUGAGAUCUCCCGGGGCACAAGCCCCCUGAAGGAACCAUGUAGACUACGUGGUUGAUAGGUCAGGUGUGUAAGUACAGCAAUGUAUUGAGCUAACUGAUACUAAUGAUCCGUGCGGCUUGACCAU
rnacentral:rRNA from 1 species